rnacentral:rRNA from 1 species
UCGCUGUCCCAGUUACCAUCUUCAAAUAUAAUGACUUUCAAAGGGUACCAGAUAAAUGGGAAUACAUUUUACACGAUCGCCCAAGAUAAGAAGAGCACCAACCAAAACAGUGGUGUCCACUUUGAUGCAACAACCAACACAGGAAAGGAAACAUAUUAUGGUUACAUAGAGGACAUAUGGGAACUUAACUAUGGAGGUGGUUUGAAGGUCCCUUUGUUUUGGUCCAAAUGGGUCAAUAUGACACGAGGCGGGGUAAAGGAAGACUCGCAGUACGGAAUGACAACAGUGGAUCUCAACAAUCUUGCGUAUGCAGACGAACCAUUCGUCCUAGCCAAUGAUGUGGCGCAGGUUUUUUAUGUGAAAGACAUGUCUACCAGGCCGAGAAAAAGAAAAGAUAAGGAAGCGAAUAGAUCAAACGAC